AAAGUAGAGGACAGAAAUAAGGGUAGAGGGAAACACGAGUCAACACCGUAGAAGUUUGCCUCUUGACCUGCAGAAACAAAACCAAGAAACCACAGCAACAAAAGACAUGUGUAUAAAACAAUACCAAAUAAAACAUCACGGAUAAGUACAUGGUGCUAGUUAAUACAAGAUGUAUUUACAGCAGUGUUUCUCAGUUUCUCAAAUUAGUUAUAGCCUAAGAAAAAUAAGUUCAUAGACCCUUUCUGGGUGUGCAUCCCCCGAGCUCAUACAUUCAUACAAUAAAUGUAAGACAUGGCAAGACUCAGUAAGGAAACAAAUCAAUAAUUUAGAGCAAAUACUCUACAGAUAAUGUUUUAUUUAAUGCCAAGUCUUUGCUUUUCCUUUCAUUUCAGUGCAGGCAACAGAACUGGCUACUGUUAAAGUCAAGGCAAGCUCCACUGAAAACAGAGUGGAAGGUUUGUAAUGUUUGAAGAAAACUUGUCAUGACAUCACUCACUUUCUUGUCACUCCCUCUGAUGUCUCCCUGUCAUUUGCUAUAACUUAUUAUGUUCAUAUAAUAAAUUUUAGACACGGGAAGACAUCAGUAAGGAAACAAACCAAUUACAGUAUUACUCUUAUUUCAUGCCAGAUAUUUGGUUUUCCUUUCAUUUCAGCUCAGGCAGCAGAACUGGCUACUGUUCAGGCCAAGGUGGACAAUGCUGAAAAUCAAGUGGAGGCUCUGAAGAGAGAGGGAGAAGCAAAACGUCUGGCUUUCUCUGCCUCUUUCUUGGCGUUGACUCCAGGAAACUUUGGACCAUUCAACACACACACAACUCUGGUCUUCAGACAUGUUGUUACUAAUGUUGGAAAUGCCUACAACCCACAUACAGGGCUGUUCACUGCACCAGUGAGAGGAGCGUAUCACUUUGAGUUCUACAUAUAUGGACAUGGUUCUUCAAAUCCUACAUCUGCUGUGUUGGUCAAAAACAGAGAGCAGAUCUUCACAGCAUGGACAACUCAGCCUGAAGGUGGACAGAAGACGUCAAAUGGCGUCACGCUGCUGUUAAAUGUCGGAGACGUUGUAUUUUUGCGCAUGUGGGCUAAUUCAAGAAUUCAUGACAACCCAGAUCGUCACAAUACCUUUAGUGGUCAUCUGCUUUUCACUAUGUAGGCCUCUGGCAGGAUUUUUAUUAUGAUGUGUGACUUGAACAAGGUGCAACUCACUAUAUAAUUGAUUUAAGUUAUUCCUAAUUUUCUGUGUAUAUUGAGAAGCUGGCAAAGUACAUUAACAGGAGUAUAUUUAUGUGAUGAGUUCAUGUGUCUUAAUGAAUUAUUAUAUUUACGUUUUUGUAGUGUGGAUUUAUUUUGUGUGUGUCGUUUGUGUUCUUCCUGCCCAAAUGACUACAAAUAAA